CUUCAAACGGCCGAUCCGCCGCCGUCAGCCACCGUAUGGCCACCACCUCGCCACCACAGCUUCACCACAUGUUCCUCUACCUUUCCCUAGCUUCCCAUGAAGUUCUAUGGCUUUCAUCCACCUCAAGCGAACACCUAGCAUUUCGUAUUUACUGUUCACAGCAUGAUGCCGACGUGCUCCGCCACCUUCGACCACCACGAGGCCACCAUGAGCCUUCCAAGGCCACGCCUAGCUUUUCUCAAGCCCAAACUACCACUUUACGUGGUGGACAGCCACCGUACGCGGUGUUACCGCCACGUACGCUCCUCCGACGCAUAACCGUGACGAGCAGCGAGCGACGCACGGGUUAGCCCGUCGAUGUUCCUCGUGAUCGCACUUGAAGUUUUAUAAGAAACGCGGAGAUCGAGAUCUUGUUACAGG